UGUUUGUAUGUGGUGCUGAGGAUCGAACCUGGGCCGCACGCAUUCCAGGCGAGCGCGCUACUGCUUGAGCCACAUCCCCAGCCCCCUUUUAUUUUCUUUGUGGUCUCCUUUUCCUGUUCCCUCAAUAUCCCUGAGGUUUCUUCUGCAGAAUACUCCUCUGUCUCUGCUCUUUACUUGAGUGAGCUGAUCCACUCUUCAUCAUGUCUCUGAUGUAAACUGAUAUGAGCUCCAGAUACACAUCAGAUUGUUUGGUAGAUACUUCUAUUUAGGUGUAUGUCCCACAUCCUUUCAAUAUGUCAUUUUCCCUCAUUGUUGGAUCAUGUCUUCUUUCUGUGUUCUGUUGUGGUUGGUGGAAGCAUGUCUUAUAGCUAAUCAACAUGUCCUAGGAAUUUUUUCUCCUAAAUAUUUCUCAGACCCAUCCUCUUCUCUCCAUCUUAAGUAUCUGCCUACACCUAUGCAUCCUCUUCUAUGCCAGCUACCUAUCUGUCUCAGUUUAUUAUAAGGUUGUCAAAACAGUCUUAUAUUUUUUUUUGUCUUAAGUUUUUUCUCCUUAAAUUCAUUCUUCACAAAACUAUUAGAGUUACCUAAGUAGUGAAUCUGACCAGGUCAGCUCCCUUUUUUAGAACCUAUCAGUGGCUAUCCAAAAUUCCCAAAAUAAGGCACACACCCUUUUGUGACCCAGCCAGCCCCUGUCCUUUCCUCCAGCCUGUCCUGAACUCAUAUUUCAAUUUAGCAGUACUAAAGUGCAUCACACUCCUAAUGAGCACACUGUUUCUCAUCUUUGUGCCUUUCCUCAUGUUGUUCCAUCUGCUUGAAAUAUCUUUAUGUGUCCUGGAUUAACUCCUUCUUAAGACUCAGUUUAGGUAUCAC
rnacentral:lncRNA from 1 species